CAUUGAGAAAAUCCUGAAGAAAGACUACCCAAAUGUGACCAUUAGCUCAAAAAAUGCCAAAACCGUCGGUAACAUGCUGCCUCCGGUGAAAGACGUCGAGGAUAAAAACAGUAGAUCGAACGUGAUUUAUAAUAUCCCAUGCGCAGACUGUCCUGCGUGUUACGUAGGCAUGACGACGAACAAGCUGCAAACGAGGAUCUCUAGUCACCGCUCCUGUUCCAACCGGCUACAAAGCUUGUGGGACCAGGGCAAGACGACGGAGGACGUGGAGGUUGCACAGCUGCGAGAACGGACGGCGCUGCUAGACCAUUCGGCAGCCAACCAUCAUGUCUUCGCAUUCGAUCGUACACGAAUAGUGGAUUCUAGUUUUAAGCAACAGAACCUACACAUACUCGAAACAUGCCAUAUUGUAAACACACACAACACGGUCAACAAGCGCACAGAUACAGACAACCUCAGCAAUACGUAUGCCGGCGUACUGCACACACUGAGAAACAAUACACGAAGCGAGGCUGUCCGACAGACAGACGAAUCGUUACAACAAGAAUCAAUACAGUCAGAGUAAAAGUGGCGCCAAACAGGCAACUGCAUCGUAGUUCUGCGACCCGGAUCGUUUUCGGAAUUCCCCUCUACCGAACCACCGCCGCAGGCGGCAGACGAUACGUUCGUCUGGGACAAAUUUGGCCUAUGCUGUGGGCCUAUGUUACGAGAGAACGGAGCAUAGUUAAAUCCUUGAGAAAGGCACAAUAUAGUGACCGAAACGUCGGAUGAAGACUUAACAAUCCGUUUUUGAGUUUUUCUUCCAAGACUGAAAGCCAUAACCUCAAAACAUAAGAUCAACAGUCGAUUCCUUAAGAAAGUAUAAUAUCAAUAUUAUCAGCGAAACCAAG